rnacentral:piRNA from 1 species
UGCCUAAAAGAACCGUUAAUGGGUCGGGA